AGCCAGAAUGAACUGAAUCAGAAUGAAAUAGAUAAUAUCAACAACCUGGCCAUCAACUGGGACUUGCCAGCAGUCAGCAACAGCAACAGAAGGUGGUUGGCAGAAACCAUUCUCCACCAUGGGGUUAUUGGUCAACGUGAAAAACAGAUCUCUCAGCUGCGGAGAGGACUCAAAGAUACAGGUGUUUUGAAAAUGAUAAAAGAAUGACCCAGUUUAACUGCAGUACUGUUUCCCAGAUCUUCUGCACUGCUGAUGGAACCAGAGAUGAUACUUAGGAGAGUCAUCUGGCCAGAACC